CCUACGGGAGGCAGCAGUGGGGAAUAUUGCACAAUGGGCGCAAGCCUGAUGCAGCGACGCCGCGUGAGGGAUGACGGCCUUCGGGUUGUAAACCUCUUUCAGUAGGGAAGAAGCGUAAGUGACGGUACCUGCAGAAGAAGCGCCGGCUAACUACGUGCCAGCAGCCGCGGUAAUACGUAGGGCGCAAGCGUUAUCCGGAAUUAUUGGGCGUAAAGAGCUCGUAGGCGGUUUGUCGCGUCUGCCGUGAAAGUCCGGGGCUCAACUCCGGAUCUGCGGUGGGUACGGGCAGACUAGAGUGAUGUAGGGGAGACUGGAAUUCCUGGUGUAGCGGUGAAAUGCGCAGAUAUCAGGAGGGACACCGAUGGCGAAGGCAGGUCUCUGGGCAUUAACUGACGCUGAGGAGCGAAAGCAUGGGGAGCGAACAGGAUUAGAUACCCUGGUAGUCCAUGCCGUAAACGUUGGGCACUAGGUGUGGGGGACAUUCCACGUUUUCCGCGCCGUAGCUAACGCAUUAAGUGCCCCGCCUGGGGAGUACGGCCGCAAGGCUAAAACUUAAAGAAUAGUACGG
rnacentral:rRNA from 1 species